UAUUUUAGGCAUGGGAAAACUGUCACAGAAGAAAGUGAAGAAUUUCAGCCAGGAACAAGUCACUCCUUGUUUAACCCCGAUUGGCUUUUGGUCUCUGCCCAUGCCUGAUUCAUGUUCUGGACACAUGG